GACGAACGCUGGCGGCGUGCUUAACACAUGCAAGUCGAGCGGUAAGGCCCUUUCGGGGGUACGACGAGCGGCGAACGGGUGAGUAACACGUGGGUGACCUGCCCUCAGCUCUGGGAUAAGCCUGGGAAACUGGGUCUAAUACUGGAUAUGACUCCACGGUGCAUGUCGUGGGGUGGAAAGCCUUGUGCGGCUGAGGAUGGGCCCGCGGCCUAUCAGCUUGUUGGUGGGGUGANGGCCUACCAAGGCGACGACGGGUAGCCGGCCUGAGAGGGCGACCGGCCACACUGGGACUGAGACACGGGCCCAGACUCCUACGGGAGGCAGCAGUGGGGAAUCUUGCGCAAUGGGCGAAAGCCUGACGCAGCGACGCCGCGUGAGGGAUGACGGCCUCGG
rnacentral:rRNA from 1 species